UACGGGGGGAGCAAGCGUUGUUCGGAAUUACUGGGCGUAAAGCGCGUGUAGGCGGCGGUGCAAGUCGGGUGUGAAAGCCCUGGGCUCAACCCAGGAAGUGCAUUCGAUACUGCGCUGCUAGAGUCCCGGAGAGGAUGGUGGAACUCUCGGUGUAGAGGUGAAAUUCGUAGAUAUCGAGAAGAACACCGGUGGCGAAGGCGGCCACCUGGACGGUGACUGACGCUGAGACGCGAAAGCGUGGGGAGCAAACAGG
rnacentral:rRNA from 1 species